rnacentral:rRNA from 1 species
GGAUGAAGGCCUCUGGGCUGUAAACCUCUUUUAUCAAGGAAGAAGAUCUGACGGUACUUGAUGGAUAAGCCACGGCUAAUUCCGUGCCAGCAGCCGCGGUAAUACGGGAGUGGCAAGCGUUAUCCGGAAUUAUUGGGCGUAAAGCGUCCGCAGGCGGCCCUUCAAGUCUGCUGUUAAAAAGUGGAGCUUAACUCCACCAUGGCAGUGGAAACUGUUGGGCCUGAGUGUGGUAGGGGCAGAGGGAAUUCCCGGUGUAGCGGUGAAAUGCGUAGGUAUCGGGAAGAACACCAGUGGCGAAGGCGCUCUGCUGGGCCAUCACUGACGCUCAUGGACGAAAGCCAGGGGAGCGAAAGGGAUUAGAUACCCCUGUAGUCCUGGCCGUAAACGAUGAACACUAGGUGUCGGGGGAAUCGACCCCCUCGGUGUCGUAGCCAACGCGUUAAGUGUUCCGCCCUGGGGAGUACGCACGCAAGUGUGAAACUCAAAGGAAUUGACGGA